UGGGCUCUUAUAAAUCUGAUCAUAAUCCAGCCCGUAAAGCUUCACUCGAUUAAGCUCUACCAUCUUCUUGUUAGUCUCCAAGGCCAAACAAACCGAGGGUAUCGGUAUCUCAAUCCUCCUCCCCGUAAGGAUUCUAACCGCCGGGGGACAGAAGAAUCGGGCGAUCGACGAUGGUCGUCGUCUCCCGCCCGUCGCGUGCCUUUUGAUAGUCGAGCGACGGCGUGGCGAGCAAGGGUCACCCGCAGUUCAUGUCUAUGUCCCAAAAGAUAAAAAGGGUCAAAAAUCUUCAUCAAGAAUAUGGAGUGGAAAAGAUGCAGAUUAUGAUGUUAAAAUUUUGAAUAAACUUUAUGGAAAAGCAUGUGUAAAUAAGUUUUUUUUUUUUUUUCUAAGUGAUAAGGGACCAUGCGGUUGAUCGGCCUCCAUUGGUGUAACUUUGUAGACUCGUAAAUAAUUGUCUGUUUUGAGCAAAAGGCAUAUUCGUACAAUUUUAUUC